rnacentral:lncRNA from 1 species
GGUAGUGCACCUGGUGUUGCUGUUUCUGCCCGUUGCCAUUUCCAUCCAUUGGGGCUCGUCUGCUGGUCCGCUCGGCUUUUGGCCGAGACCGAGCGCUCCCACUUAUUCCCUUCUCUUGCGAACACCAGAAACAGAACAGAGAGCUCACUCCUUUCCCCUUUUCUCUUCCAAGAAAGAACCCUAAGAAAAAGAGCUCUCCUCUCCUCUCUCACUCCCAAGGAUUUGUGCUCCAUUCAAGUGAGAGAGCAAGCUCUAGAGAUCAAUUUGAGAGCUCCAAGAAGAUCUCCUCCCUCUCCUCUCCAUUCCCAUGGUUGGUUCUCUUUGGUGAGAGGAGUUGAGGAAACCCUAGUGUUCAUGCAUUUGUGAUUCAUAUUUGUGGCACUACGUGGUGAUUGUAAUUGUGGAUUUCUUAUUACUCUUGGUGAUUGCCGUCACCUAGACGGUUGUGGAUUUGUUGAUUGGUGAGGGGAUUUGGUGAUUGUGUCCGCCCCCAAUCAAGGUGAUAUUUGUAAGGGGUUCUUGGGCUUAUUUCCCGGCAGAGUGCCAAAAGCCACUCUAGUGGAUUGCUCGUGUCAUUGAGCUACCUCACUUGUGGGUAGGUUCUUGUGGUGCCCAUUUGUUGGGCUAGGUUUGUGAAACACCUAUUAGCCGCCGAACCACCAAGUGUUGGUCGACACAACGGGGACUAGCGUGUCGGCAAGCACGUGAACCUCGGGAGAAAAAUAUUGGUGUCAAUAUUGUGAUUGGUAUUCUCCCGGUGAAUAUAUUGAUAUACAUUGUGAUUGGUUCAUCC